AAUAGAUACCCCGGUAGUCCACGCCGUAAACGAUGAGUGCUAAGUGUUAGAGGGUUUCCGCCCUUUAGUGCUGAAGUUAACGCAUUAAGCACUCCGCCUGGGGAGUACGGCCGCAAGGCUGAAACUCAAAGGAAUUGACGGGGGCCCGCACAAGCGGUGGAGCAUGUGGUUUAAUUCGAAGCAACGCGAAGAACCUUACCAGGUCUUGACAUCCUCUGACAACCCUAGAGAUAGGGCUUCUCCUUCGGGAGCAGAGUGACAGGUGGUGCAUGGUUGUCGUCAGCUCGUGUCGUGAGAUGUUGGGUUAAGUCCCGCAACGAGCGCAACCCUUGAUCUUAGUUGCCAUCAUUAAGUUGGGCACUCUAAGGUGACUGCCGGUGACAAACCGGAGGAAGGUGGGGAUGACGUCAAAUCAUCAUGCCCCUUAUGACCUGGGCUACACACGUGCUACAAUGGACGGUACAAAGAGCUGCAAGACCGCGAGGUGGAGCUAAUCUCAUAAAACCGUUCUCAGUUCGGAUUAGUGGCUGCUAACCG
rnacentral:rRNA from 1 species